rnacentral:rRNA from 1 species
CAGCCGUAAACUAUGCGCGUUAGGUGUAUCGGUGACCACGAGUUACCGAGGUGCCGAAGGGAAACCGUGAAACGUGCCGCCUGGGAAGUACGGUCGCAAGGCUGAAACUUAAAGGAAUUGGCGGGGGAGCACCACAACAGGUAGAGCCUGCGGUUUAAUUGGACUCAACGCCGGGAAGCUCACCGGAUAGGACAGCAGAAUGAUUGCCGGGCUGAAGACCCUGCAUGACUAGCUGAGAGGAGGUGCAUGGCGUCAGUGACU